CAAGACUGUAUAGGCCAAAGUUUCAAGUAUUCUGGAAUAACUUUCCAGGACUGCCUGCCCAACAUCCUAUUAUGCAAAGAACAAAUCAGUGAAAAAGCUCUUUGAACAUCACAUGGCAGCCAUUGUUUUUCCAACUGAAAUUUUCUUGCCACUUCGGAUAGGCCUCCUUCAGGAACUUUAACCGUAGGCAGCCACCACUUAUCACCAUUCCUUUUGGCGCCAUCUGGAGCGUCCUUUGAUAGAUAAUAGAACUCAUUUUUGUCCUUGAAAUUGUCUAAACAAUCCUGCAAAUAAAAAAUGUGAUAUUCCU